UUCCGCCUGGGGAUCGGCCCGCGUCCUAUCAGCUAGUUGGCGAGGUAAUGGCUCACCAAGGCUAUGACGGGUACUGGGUGUGAGAGCACGACCCAGCUCACUGGGACUGAGAUACUGCCCAGACACCUACGGGUGGCUGCAGUCGAGAAUCUUCGGCAAUGGGCGAAAGCCUGACCGAGCGACGCCGCGUGCGGGAUGAAGGCCUUCGGGUUGUAAACCGCUGUCGUAGUGGAGGAAAUAUCAGGGGGUUCUCCCCUUGGUUUGACUGAUACUAGGAGGAAGGGUGGGCUAAGCUCGUGCCAGCAGCCGCGGUAAGACGAGCCACCCAAACGUUAUUCGGAAUCACUGGGCUUAAAGCGUGCGUAGGCGGCCUGCAAAGUUGGGUGUGAAAUCCCUUGGCUCAACCAAGGAAUUGCGCCCAAAACUAGUGGGCUCGAGGGAGAUAGAGGUAAGCGGAACGGAUGGUGGAGCGGUGAAAUGUGUUGAUAUCAUCUGGAACACCGGUGGCGAAAGCGGCUUACUGGGUCUUUUCUGACGCUGAGGCACGAAAGCUAGGGUAGCGAACGGGAUUAGAU
rnacentral:rRNA from 1 species